rnacentral:rRNA from 1 species
GACGAACGCUGGCGGCGUGCCUAACACAUGCAAGUCGAACGAGGUCCAAGGGAGCUUGCUCCCCGAAGACCUAGUGGCGAACGGGUGAGUAACACGUGAGGAACCUGCCCCGGACUCCGGGAUAACCCGAGGAAACUCGAGCUAAUACCGGAUGUCCUCAUCGGAUCGCAUGGUCUGAUGAGGAAAGUUUUUCGGUCCGGGAGGGCCUCGCGGCCUAUCAGCUAGUUGGUGAGGUAACGGCUCACCAAGGCUACGACGGGUAGCUGGUUUGAGAGAACGAUCAGCCACACUGGGACUGAGACACGGCCCAGACUCCUACGGGAGGCAGCAGUGGGGAAUCUUGCGCAAUGGGCGAAAGCCUGACGCAGCAACGCCGCGUGCGGGAUGACGGCCUUCGGGUUGUAAACCGCUUUCAGCAGGGACGAAGAUGACGGUACCUGCGGAAGAAGCUCCGGCUAACUACGUGCCAGCAGCCGCCGUAAAAC